rnacentral:rRNA from 1 species
GACGAGCCGAGCGAACGUUGUUCGGAAUAACUGGGCUUAAAGGGCGCGUAGGCGGGCCGCCAAGUUCGAGGUGAAAUCCUCCGGCUCAACCGGAGAACUGCCUCGAAUACUGGAGGCCUCGAGGCGGGUAGGGGCACGCGGAACUGUGGGUGGAGCGGUGAAAUGCGUUGAUAUCCACAGGAACUCCGGUGGCGAAGGCGGCGUGCUGGACCCGAUCUGACGCUGAGGCGCGAAAGCCAGGGGAGCAAACGGG